AGCAUGUAGGGUCUUAGUUCCCUGACCAGGGAUCAAACCCAAGCCCCCUGCACUGGGAGCACAGAGUCUUCCCCACUGGAUUACCAGGGAAGUCCUCCAAAGAUUUAUUUUCCUGUUUAUUUCUUCUCAAAGUUUCCAACAAUGUUCUACAAAGAGAAUAUUAUAAUCACACACAAAAAUCAUUUAAAAAUAAUUUUACAAUGAUGGAGUAGGAAAGAAAUAAAACACAGAAAAAUAAAGGAGAUUGAAAGGAGGUGGGUCUCAGCCAACAACCUGGGAGGAUAGAGGGGAAAUUAUUUUUCGUCCCUUACACCACCUUCUGAAGUGAGACACAACUCUGUAACUGAACUGACCUAUUCUCAGUACUAAGAGACUAGUUCAGUGAGACUACCAACUUCACAGGGAAACUUAGCAGGGAACUUUCAAAGGAUGGAAUGAAAAGUAGCAGAAUAGGCCACUCCAAAAUAUACCUCUUUGGCAUAAGGAUUAUUUUGAACUAUUAUUAUUAUUAUUUUUUAAGAAACAGCAGACACAGGAGAAGCUCCAAAACAGAGCUGAAUUUACCCUUUUCUAAGGGAAAUCUCCAUUGAUUACGGUGCCUUCCUCUCUGUACCAGGAAGAGAAUGACUCUAAAUCACAAAACUCAUCCAUGAAGAAGGUGCUGGCUUAAAUCUGCAUAACAACCUUACCCGGUUUACUGUGUCUUUCCUGAUAACCUCCUGUAACUGGCCCCCCUAGUCCCCAGCAUCUUUCUUUUGUCUUUAGCUGAAGAUAGUAUUUCAAGUGAUGGAUUGGGCCAUUUCAGGGUAUUUUACUCAGUUUUCGUGGGUAUCUCCCAUGUAUACAUGAUAUAUGUGUUA